rnacentral:lncRNA from 1 species
UCACAUCCAUUCACUCAUUCCUUUGCACACAUUACACUUACACCCAUUUCAUACACUCUUCAUUCAAUUGGAUUGGAUUCUACAUUGAGGUACCACACCUAAAUUAACAAGAAUUCGAACUACAAGGUAUGUUUCUCUAAUCCCUAAUUUCGAGUUUCAUUUAAUGAUUAUCUUUCAAUGUGUGGAUUUAGUUAGGAUGUAUUGGGGUAGAUUGGUGUACUAUUGUGAAUUGGGGAACUUUCAUGGUAGUGAAGGUAAGAAAUAGAAAGUAAUUCACAUUGCACACCAAGUGUUCGACG